GACGAACGCUGGCGGCGUGCUUAACACAUGCAAGUCGAACGAUGAAGCCUAGCUUGCUGGGUGGAUUAGUGGCGAACGGGUGAGUAACACCUGAGUAAACUGCCCCUUACUCUGGGAUAAGCGCUGUAAACGGCGUCUACUACUCGCUAUUACCUUUCAUCGCAUGGUGUUUGGUGGAAAGAUUUUUCGGGUUGGGAUGGACGCGCGGCCUAUCAGCUUGAUGGUGAGGUAGUGGAUCACCAUGGCGACGACGGGUAGCCGGCCGGGGAGGGGUACCGGCCACACUGGGACUGAGACACGACCCAGACUCCUACGGGAGGCAGCAGUGGAGAAUAUUAGACGAUGGGCGCAAGCCUGAUGCAGCAACGCCGCGUGGGGGAUGACGGCCUUCGUGUUGUAAACGUCUUUUAGUAGGGAAGAAGCGUAAGUGACGGUACCUACAGAAAAAGCACCGGCUAACUACGUG
rnacentral:rRNA from 1 species